CCCGGUUCGAUCGAAGCUCGUGUUCCAUUCAAUCGAUAAUAAUAAUUAUACUAAUAAGAAUAGUUUCAAUAAAAUAGUAUCAUGAGUUCAGUUGUAGAAAAAAAGAUGAGAUGAUCCGUAUGAAAUUUAACGGUUGAACCUCGUUUGCAACGGCACAAUCAACUCGCUUCACGUCAUUACCAACUCACCUAAUUCAAAAUUCGCGAUGCUUGAAUGUAGCUGCGUAAAUGCGUCGCGACACCUGUUCGACUGACCCGUUAUUAUUCAACUGAGGACACUUCAGGUGUCAGACAGUAUCGUUAUAGUUCACACACUACGAGUCGUCUAACUUUUCCCGGGAGCCGGUUAUAUAUAGAGACCGCGUGUAAGUGUCGGCGACGACACUGCUUCGAGAUCAUUGAAGUUCUCGGUAGGUGUGAUAAGAUUCGUCACGGUCGGGAAUAAUAGCUAAUAUAAGUGAAUGCGUUCGGUUAUCGUUAUAUAGGUACUAAACGUGGCCGUUGACGGACCACGGCAAAUUGGGAUUUGAACGACGAGUAAAAUCAGGAAAUGGAAAAGAUUUCGCAUAAAGCCUUGGUAAACCAGGUAGAACGUAUCGUCGAAAAUUACGAAUAUUUGUAGGUUAUAAUUUUCUGCUUCGCGAUCUCGUCCGAGAAUGCUUUUUUUCUUUGUUAAGAGAGCGAUUGUUUUAUAGUUAAUGAAUGAUAAGUAAUACAUUAUUGAAUAUUGGAUUAGAAGAUCAUAUCUUUUUGAUCAUUCCGUCAUCUUUAAUGGGCGUUUGGAGAAACGGUACUGAUUAUUCAAAUAAACAGAGAAAUCGAUUAUUUUAUCACGACCCGAUACAAACAACCGUUGACGUUUGAAAAUUUGUUUACGCUCCAUUUUCAAAUUCACAGGAAAUCUGCGGUUUGUUCUAUUUUUAAUUUGCAAUCAAUAAGUCGAUCGAUAACGUUUAUCAUCGGCGACUGGGGGUCUUUUUAUCGAGGCAGUUUCUAAAUUUGUCUAAAAUAUUUUGGAAAUAUUUGAAAUUCGCGAUGAAAUGCGUGAUGACGAUAUGAAUUUUUCCAUGUGAAAAAUGAGACGCCUAUCAACAUGUUACACGUGUAAACAAUAUAACACCUGGAGUGCUAAGGGUUAAUGACAGUAGUAGUAUCGGUGAGAGUUCAGAAAGAAAUCAUAAGGCGAGGGGUUAAUAUACAAUAAAAAAAAUGCGCCGCACUAUGGAGAGCAGAGAUAGCAUAAAAUGAGAAUGAUAUUCAAGCCAUAAGUGGUUAAGUGGGACACUCUGUAUGUGAGUACGUUUGCUGAAGUUUCUCAGCGCAUGUUUCCAAUGCGUUCGCAGAUCACGAGGAACCUGAAACCAAUCGGCCGGAGCGGUCAUUAAAGCCGGGAACAAAAUGAAGGGGCGUCGAGAACGAAUGGUACUGCACAGUACCGCGAGCUGCGCUGGAUACAGUGAAAGUAUGCCCGCUAUGCUCCUCCGGCGGGGUUUGAAGAAAAAGGGGAGGGGAGAAAUGACUUUUGCGUCUACCCCAAGGUUUUGCGAGCAACCGCAUCGGCCACCGUACAAGUAUCACCCUGUAGAAGAGCGCACACGAAAUUUUCCAUGUCGUGGGUGAAACUUACCUCACCGUCCGCCGGAAUUACCGAACGCGCAAUCAGAGGAUCGUCCGGGAAUCGUCUAAACGGGAAGAAUCUAUUUAUUCAAAUCUCCUCCGCGCCUACACGAUGGAUCGUUAAUCUCGUCAGGUACGCGGCUAUUACAUGCCACGAGGAAUUUCACCGGCGGCCAUGGCGGAGGGAGGGAGGAAAGCCGAGUCCGAGAAUUUUCCUUGUAGAGGUCAUCGCUCACAGGAGCAACACGUAAACCCGAUCCAACCUCGGAUGGAGCCGGUUAGAAAUUGCAACCUGAAAAGGGGACGGAGAAAGCGUAUCACGGUCGACCUUUAGGAUGUGCCUUUGCACGCGGAUAGACCGAGUUUCCUGGUAAGAAGGAAACAAAAAUUCGCAGAUGGAAUAGUUGAAAUUUUAGCUGCGAGUUUACGAUACCAUGCCAUUCAGAAGAAUCUUCAUUGGAGGCAUUCUUUAAUGCAUUUCUGAUUAUUUGCACGCGUGUGGUAAUAUGGUAUGCAGUCAAGAGGACUAUUCAGGCCCAAAAUGAAAUGUAAUGAGACAAUUUUGUUCUAUAUUUUCUCAGAAUAAUUAUUUCAGUUAUUAGUGGUGAAUACUGUUGCUAAAUAUCAGUCAAAUAUUGAAUGUAUUUGAAGUAAUUGAACUUAUCAGCAUGGACUGAAUUACAGUCUAAUAUUAAUAUCGAAUUUAUUGAAUGUAUUUGAAAUAACUGAAUUGGAAUUCUUAUUAUCUUUGGAUACUAGCUCUCUAUAUUAUAAAGAUGCCAAUAUAAUAUAAAGGUGCACGAGUAUCAUCAAACUUUCUUUCUAAAUUCUUUGUGCAUAUGUUUAAUUAUGAAAAAGAAACGCCAGCAAUUGACGAAGAUCUUCAAUCAGUCGAGGUAAUUGGAACGUAUUGUAUUUUGUAAUUACGCGGGUGAAUAAUUAGAGUAUUCUCAUCAAAGUAGAAAAGAGGGUAGAGUGGAACGAAACGUGGCGUGCGAAAAUAUUUUCCGAGCGAGUAGUGUGCAACCGAUGACAUUAGAAACUGGAUGAAAGGAAACUUCGUUAAAUGUCAAGGAUGAAGGGGAUUCUACAUUUUUCUUCCCAUUCUUUAGACACUGCCAUGGGAAAGUAACCGUUAACGUUCCCCCGAACUGAAAACGAAUUCAAUGAGAAUCGUUAAACUGUUACGGUACCACGAUCCCCUGGCAGGGAACCCGGCGUCUCCGUUUAUUCGAUUCCGAAAAUCGACACUAAACAAUUUCAUCACCGAAUUGGGACUUUGUCUUAUUUCUUCCGGGUGAUAUAAAUGGGCGGGAAAAGUCAUUCUUCUCCGGAACGACAGGCGGAAGAAAUAUCUUCGGUUGUAAAGAAAUACUAUUUAGAGAAUGCAGCGGUCCAUGCUGAUGCUUUCAAGCGUUUCAUCCGAGGAAAUGUCAGUGAGACUUUUAUGCGGGCAUAAAAGUAGAAAUUAGUUUCUUGUAUAUAAACCGGGGAUGCCGGUUACACCUUUAUGUUUUCGACCCGGUGAGGUCAGUGAACUUCGCACGAUUCCCUGCAUCCUAAAAUGCGGAUACAAUUGUAUUUUCCGAAUUUCACAGUAUUUUCAUCAAAAAUCGUAUAAUUCACUAGCCACUGAAUUGUAAAAUC